UAAACGGAAUUUUGGGAACUGCCAAGAGAUUUGUUUCUUAGGAUCCUUUUCUCCCUCAUUCCACACCCCUGAGCUUGAGAGCUGGGCUAGCUGCUGACCGAGAGGCCCCCCCGUUUCUCCCCAUGGGCCCUACGACCAAGGGCAGUACAGCCCAGCAAGAGGUCUGGGGGGAGCCCUGCUCACAGGUGGAGCCCGCUGCAAACACAGGGUCAGGGGCCACUGCCAGAGGUCCCAGAAGCACCAAGAUCGGUUUCACAUGAGCAAGAUGGCCUCUUUUUCAGGGCUCUCUACUGACUUGGAAAAGGGCUGAAAGGCCAGUUUUGAGGUAUAAAAUUUUCAUUUGGGGCAUUACCUUGGUUCCCUGGCCUUGACAAAACCGUGAGGCUGGACAUGGGGAUGUUAAACGAGCUAAAGGACACUGGGGCAGCCCCGAGGCAGGUGAGGAAGGCAGGAUGGAAGGGGCCACAUCCUCAGCUCCCUCCUGUGCCCAGGACACCCUGGGAAUCAGGAAAACAGGAUGCACUGGGCCAAAGGCUCAGCUACAGAGCAGCUCCCCCAGCAGCCUUCCCCCUCUCAUAUUCAAGUUUCCCUUUGUCCACAUUAACCAAACCACCCUGCAGUCCUGCUCAGCCUGCCGAGAAUGACAAGAGCCAGCCAUCAUUCUCUCUCCACCACUCCUCCCCGGAAAGCCCCGCCCAGCGCCAUCUUCGGCCCUCAAGCCCGGGUCCUGGGAGUGGGGAGGCGCUCCUGCGCAUGGAAUCCAGUCCCACAGUAUCUGGAGGAGAGGGUGUUGCUUCCUAAACAGGCUGCCAGAUUAGCUUUUUUCUUCACUGUCCUAUUAUGCUUGCUUGGCAGAACCUGCCUCCCACACAGGGGCAGCCGCCUCAGGGUGGGUGACUCAACCUCUCUUGCCGCCGGCUUCCUCACUGCCAUGAGGCUGAGGUGUGCACGGGCUCUGCUGGGCUGCAGCUGCUGGGAGGAGAGGCCGAGGUGGCCGAGGCUCGGGCAGCCAGGUCUUGUUUAACCUGAUUUCUCAAUUUGAACGUCCACUCUGAAGACUACUAGGGAGGCAAAAACAGAAGAAAUCAGACCUGCCAGAGACCACAAUCUGGGUUGGCAUGCCCCAAGUGCCUGAAAGUAGACAUCCGAGCAGAGAGCUGUAUGCCUUUUGUGGGAAGCAGGACACACGAAGGCUGGGAGGAGAGCUCCACCUAAUAGGAAGACCAUCUCUGUGGUGCACUAGUCCAGUGCUCACAAUGGCGUCACACACACACACACACACACACACACACACUCCACAGGAGUACCAUAAAUAUAGCCAUCGUAUUCCUGUACACACAGACACACGCCCACACACCCUCACUGAGCAGCAAAAUUCUGGAUACCCAGGCUUGGUCCUUCACACCUCCCUGUUGUGGGAGGACAUCCCAGGGCCAUGGCACCGCCACCUGCAGCCUUCAUUCCACCAAUAGUUGGCAAGACCUCCAUACCCCAUGUGAGGCCACCACACAAUACACUUGUUCAGACUUUUCUCCUGGGAAGAGUGGAAGUGGUUAAAAAAAAAAAAGGCCCCUCUUAGAAGGUUUCCUUUUUGCAGGACUCUGUGCCAUUCCAGUUUACAUGCACCUCAUAUCUGACAGUAGAGUUGGCAGCAAAUGUACAUUUCAUAUGUAAACAAUGUUUAAAAUACCCUGUUUGAGAAUUUGAUCGUUCAAUUAAUUCUGGCAGCUUGAGCUAAGAUUUUUUUUUUUUUUUUAACCAUUAAGGGUAGGGGAAUACUACCUGAUCUAACUGGGAACACCCACUUGAGGCUUUAGAGUUCUUGAGCAGGAAAUUCCACAGGUCUCUUCGGUGUGAGGGCCAGGUGGCGUGUGUGCUCGCUCUCCUUAUAGUGCACAGGGGCACACCAACCCUCACCCACAGAGGCAGUGUGUCUCGGGAGGGCAGUGGACCCUCACGGCAGAGGGACUCAAGAGCCGUUUUGGCCUGGCCUAGCUGUAGCCAAGGAAAGAAGAGGUCCAGGAAGUUAUGGCAGGAAUGCAAACACUGGGGCCCCCCACAGAGCUAGAAAGGCCCAUCACUCCACAAAGGGAGAAUGCUUCAGCCCACGUCUCAGUCACCUGCACUCCAGAGCUUAUGCCUAAUCGUGAGUUGUUUCAUUUAGUCAAGCUGAUCACUUUGGAGACCUGCAAUGAAUCCAAAUCCAUCAGCUGGGAAUGAUCCCAACAGUACUGCCACCACAUUCUCUGGGACUUGGUCCACCUGGAGACCAGCCUCUUCUGGACUCCUCGUCCACUUUCUGGUCUCUCUGCUGAGGAUUCAUUUCCUUGGCACUAUAAUCUUGUGCUGAAGUCCAGCUUUUUCCUAGGCAGCUAGAUUGCAUUGCAUUCAUCCUCCGGGAAGAGUUUCCUGGCCCAUUUCCAAAAGCAGCCUCAGGGUAUCAUGAAAGUAUUUUAAGAAGAUUCUCCACAACCAGUUGUUCACAGUGAUCUUAGCAUCACCUCCUGUUCCAUGUUCAAUUCCAAAAGGUCAGAGAUCAAGAAGGAAGUUGCUGAAUAGCGAAGGUGGUCCUCAUAAGAGGAACCUUUCUAAGAAGGCAUGCUCCCAAGAAGCAAGCUGGAAAGAGAGUCACAGCCCAGUUCCCAUUCUCCCCCAUCAUAAUUACAUGACCUGCAUGGAAGAGGGGAUGGGGAGAGUUGGGGAAAGUAUUAGGCACCAUGAGAGCUGUCCAUGCUAUGAGAAUUCACCUCCCUUUGCCAAGAUGUCUGUCAUUCUAAGGUAUCAGUGAUGAAUGAUGCCACAAGGCGGCAAGGGCAGAGACUACAUUAAGCAACAGAAAGAUUACAUGGUGCCCCAUUGCACAAAAGUCUACUGGUGCUCCAUUCCCUGGUCAUCCGACUUCUAGAAAACUUCUUGGUAGAACUGAGGAAGAUUUGCAAGCUCUCUCUGAAAAGCAGCUCCAU